rnacentral:rRNA from 1 species
UGAGCAAUCUGCCCUUCUCUUCGGAAUAAGCGUUGGAAACGACGUCUAAUGCCGAAUACGACCUCCUUUCGCAUGAUCGGAGGUGGAAAGCUCCGGCGGAGAAGGAUGAGCUCGCGGCCUAUCAGCUAGUUGGUGUGGGUAAUGGCCCACAAGGCGACGACGGGUACG